rnacentral:rRNA from 1 species
UACGGAGGGUGCAAGCGUUAUUCGGAAUUACUGGGCGUAAAGCGCACGCAGGUGGCUGAGUCAGUCGAUUGUGAAAGCCCUGGGCUUAACCUGGGAAUUGCAGUCGAUACUACUCAGCUAGAGUAUGGGAGAGGGCAGUGGAAUUCCCGGUGUAGCGGUGAAAUGCGUAGAUAUCGGGAGGAACAUCAGUGGCGAAGGCGACUUCCUGGCCUGUUCUUGACGCUGAGGCGCGAAAGCUAGGGGAGCAAACGGG